rnacentral:rRNA from 1 species
AUGGCGACGAGCGCCGCGUCGGGGGUGAUGAACCCCCUCAUCGGCAAGUUCACCAAGCUGAUGGGAGACGAGUACAAGAAGCUCAAAGGGGUGAGGAAGGGGGUGGCUUUUCUCAGGGACGAGCUCAGCGCCAUGAACGCUGCCCUUGAGAAGCUGGAGUUCAUGGAAAAGCUCGAGCCAGGUACAAAGGACUGGAGGGACCAUGUGAGGGAGAUGUCAUACGACAUGGAGAAUUGCAUCGAUGACUUCAUGAAGGAUAUUGGAGGUGCCGACGCCAGCGCCAGUGCAGACUUCGUGAAGAGGAUGUCUCGGCGCCUCAAGACGCUGAAGGUGCGCCACCGGAUUGCCGGCGAGAUUCAGGAGCUUAAGGCUCGUGCAGUAGAGGCAAAUGAACGGCGAUUAAGGUACAAGAUUGACGAUUGCAAUACUAGUUGUGGCUCUGUGGAUAUUGAUCCGAGGAUUUCAGUGAUGUACAAGGACGCUGCUGGACUUGUGGAUACUGAUGGCCCAAAGAAGGAGGUUGCCAGUCUGUUAGCAGUCACCGAGAAGAAGCUGAAGGUGGUGUCCAUCGUGGGAUUCGGAGGACUGGGUAAAACUACCCUUGCUAAUCAGGUGUAUGAUGAUCUCGAAGGGCAAUUUGACUGCAAGGCAUUUAUUCCUGUCUCUCAAAAACCAGACAUGCCACGGCUUCUCAAUAGCCUAAGAUUAAAGCUUGGGAUAAAUGAGUCCUCUGGUAUUUGUGAGGUGCAAGACAUCAUCGGUCAACUUAGAAAACACCUUGCAAACAAGAGGUACUUUAUUAUAGUCGAUGACUUGUGGGAUGAAGAAGCAUGGGACAUUAUAAGAUGUGCCUUUCCAGAAGAUGGUAACGGGAGUAGAGUAAUAGUAACCACACGAGUGGAAGCCGUUGCAAUCUCAGCAUGUUCUUAUCACUAUGAACACAUCUACAAAAUGAAGCCCCUCAGCUCUGAAAAUUCGAGAAGGUUAUUCACGAGCAGAGUAUUUGGGUCUGAAAACAAGUGUCCAUCUAAUUUUGAGGAAGUUUCAAAUGAAAUUCUGAAGAAGUGUGGCGGAUUGCCACUUGCAAUCAUUACUAUAGCUAGCCUAUUGGCUUCCCGUCGAGAAAGAUCAAGGAAUGAUUGGGAGAACAUACGGAAUUCUUUGGGUGCCCAGUUUUCCAUAAACCCCACACUGAAAGGGAUGAGGAGUAUAUUAAACCUCAGCUAUAUGAAUCUUCCUCUUCAUCUCCGCACUUGUUUUCUUUACCCUGGCAUGUAUCCAGAGGACUAUGAGAUUUUGAGGGAUGAACUAGUCCGACAAUGGAUGCCGAAGGCUUUGUCAGUAAUUUGCAUGGAACAAAUUUGGAGGACGUUGGGAUAA